CACAGCAGAAGUGCCCACGGUACCCUAAAGGUGGGAUAUAACCUGUACUGCCCUGGAGCUUGGACCAGGGCUGCCUUUCUACUGACUGGAAUCAGGGAACACAGGUGCUGCUGCAGAGUUUCCAUGGAAGGUGGGAGUAAGUGAAACUAUCUGCUGGCUGGGAAAACAGAAGCUUUGUUGACAAAGACAGUUUCAGUUAAUGAAAGACUAAACUGGAUGCAUUAAGAAUGAAAGGAAUAUAAACCAUAUGCUGUUAUGUUUGGUGCACUCAAAACAGUUCUUCUUUCUACUGGAUUCCCUGGGACUAUUUUCAGACUGAAGAAGGCUGCAAACCACUCUUUGGAAGGAGAAUUUAUAUUGGUUUCAACUGUUGCCUAUUAACAAGAAGCAGAAGAUGUUCAAAGAACUUCAU